rnacentral:misc_RNA from 1 species
GAGUUUACAACUCCCAAACCCCUGUGAACAUACCUAUGUUGCUUCGGCGGGUCGUCCCGGCGCCCCCGGGCCCGGACCCAGGCGCCCGCCGGAGGCCUACAAACCACUGUGUAUUAGUGUAUCCUUCUGAGUCAAAAAACAAAUAAAUCAAAACUUUCAACAACGGAUCUCUUGGUUCU